rnacentral:tRNA from 1 species
CUGGUUUUGGCUCAGUGGUUAGAGCAUCGGCCUGGGGACCGCAGGGUCCCGGGUUCGAAUCCCAGUCCAGU